rnacentral:rRNA from 1 species
UACGUAGGGUGCAGGCGUUUAAUCGGAAUUACUGGGCGUAAAGCGUGCGCAGGCGGUUUUGUAAGUCUGUCGUGAAAGCCCCGGGCUCAACCUGGGAAUUGCGAUGGAGACUGCAAGGCUUGAAUCUGGCAGAGGGGGGUAGAAUUCCACGUGUAGCAGUGAAAUGCGUAGAGAUGUGGAGGAACACCGAUGGCGAAGGCAGCCCCCUGGGUCAAGAUUGACGCUCAUGCACGAAAGCGUGGGGGAGCAAACAGG